rnacentral:rRNA from 1 species
AACGAACGCUGGCGGCAGGCUUAACACAUGCAAGUCGAACGCCCCGCAAGGGGAGUGGCAGACGGGUGAGUAACGCGUGGGAACAUACCCUUUUCUACGGAAUAGCUCUGGGAAACUGGAAUUAAUACCGUAUAUGCCCUACGGGGGAAAGAUUUAUCGGGGAAGGAUUGGCCCGCGUUGGAUUAGCUAGUUGGUGGGGUAAAGGCCUACCAAGGCGACGAUCCACAGCUGGUCUGAGAGGAUGAUCAGCCACAUUGGGACUGAGACACGGCCCAAACUCCUACGGGAGGCAGCAGUGGGGAAUAUUGGACAAUGGGCGAAAGCCUGAUCCAGCCAUGCCGCGUGAGUGAUGAAGGCCUUAGGGUUGUAAAGCUCUUUCGCCAGGGAAGAUAAUGACGGUACCUGGAAAAGAAGCCUCGGCUAACUCCGUGCCAGCCGCCGCCGUAAUAC